CCUACACAACCUGCAGUCUGAACAUCGCGUGCUUUCGGCCCCCGCCUCGCUUCAGGCUCGACCACCGCCUUCAGACCACAGGCUCGACCACCACCUUCACACCUUCAGACCUCAGGCUCGACCACCGCCAGCAGCCGCUCUUCUGGGUCCAUCAGCUGUCUCCUAUAGGUCCAUCCUAGCGGCGUACCAAAACCUGCAAGUAUGAUCAUCAGACUGGGACGCUUGACCCCUGGGUACUUCCGUCUCCUGCAGAGGCAGGUAGCCGGUGAGGUUCAGACGCAGCCACAGGACCGUGCCCUCAACCAGAUCGCCAUGUUGCUGGCCAUCAUGGGUCUCAGCCUGUCCUACUACAGUGCCAAGCAGAUGACUGAGAAAGUCCAGCGCGUCCCUGGGCCCUGAAGUGACCCUGAACUCUGGUCCGUUUGUAUGCCGUAGCUGAAGAGACCAAAAAGCCGAAUUGGAGAUCGAGACGGAGGGUUGGGGAGAGAAGAGAUUAAUGAAGUUGUAGGGCACGGUUUUACACUUUCAUCACCACCGUAAGCCUAAGACACUGGAGUUCACUCACCAUGAGAAGAGAGUUCAGGGCUGCUGCUGGGGGUCCUCUGACUGCAGCUUAGCAUAGAAUGGGUGGGUGCAAGUUUUACACUGGGGCCAGAAAUUAAAGCCAGAAGGAAGCUGAAUGGGGCCUGGGUUGAUGGUUGCCGUGGUCCGCGGCGCCUCUUUAUUACCGCUGAAGUCCCGGGGUCCAGUGCUAGUGAGGUGCUAUCUGACGUUAUAAUGCUGUUUUAAAGGGAAAUGGCUCCGUAGCUGGUGACCUUGGCUAAGAAUCGAUGCCCUUUAAAGGGAAGCACCUCUGUAUGUAUUAAGCAGUAAUCGAACACAGGCCAGGUUGAUGAGUGGUAGCUGUGUACUGUGUCUAAGAAUAAAUGCCUUUGAAAGGACAGAGCAGGUGCAUUAUGUGAGCAACCAUUGACCGCAGGCUUAAACGAAUGAAGGCAAAGGUAUUUUUUGGCUGUAUAGCUGCAGGUAAGAUGCCACAGCAUCCUGAGAACUCGUCUACACAACUGAACGAAAUUACAUUUCUUUUAGACACUGUGAACGUUUUUACUGCACUGUCAAUGCAAGCUUGUAAAUGAGCUUACAGCAGCAAAUCUAGACCUGGUUAAAAGGGACUUUUCCUCCUUUCCGUUUUGUAUUCCUCUCUUUUUCUUGUAUCUGCAAUGCUUAGUAGGUGUUUACUGUGACCUUUCUAAUGCAUGAGUGUGAACUGUGAUAGUUACUAAGGACAUCUGUGGUAAUGAAUGUAUGUUGCUAUUUUGAAAAAAACAAACAAUAAAGCUGUGAAGAUUUUGAAUAA